rnacentral:rRNA from 1 species
GACAGAGGGUGCAAACGUUGUUCGGAAUUACUGGGCGUAAAGCGAGUGUAGGCGGUUUGGUAAGUCGGAUGUGAAAGCCCCGGGCUCAACCCGGGAAGUGCACUCGAUACUGCCAAGCUAGAGUAUCGGAGAGGUUGGUGGAAUUCUCGGUGUAGAGGUGAAAUUCGUAGAUAUCGAGAGGAACACCGGCGGCGAAGGCGGCCAACUGGACGAAUACUGACGCUGAGACUCGAAAGCGUGGGGAGCAAACAGG